CUUUGCAUCGCCAUGAGCUAGGAGGUCAGCUUGUAAAGAAUACAACAAAAAUGCUAGGAGGAUGUCGCAGGAUCAACGCAGCAAACCAUGCCCCUCACCACUUCAUCUGAGCUUUUAUCUUAUUCAAGUGGUUCCACAGCAAGAAAGGUGAAGAAGAUGACUCAUAUCAGCCACCUUCUAGGCGUCUACGCUCGGCCUGUCUCUGCCUCGUUGCCGCCUAGGUCCUCGCUUCCCCUAUUAUGACAAAAGGAGCAACCAACAAAAAGAAAAAAAAGCAUCAAAGUAGGUAAAUCAGGCUACAGCAUCCUGACAGCGAGGACAUAUGGCAUA